rnacentral:lncRNA from 1 species
CCACUUCUAAUAAGGACAAUGAGCACACUUCACCAAAUGUCAAUAGGUUAUUCCUUUUUUCCCAACAAAAUCUUUCCAAUGGAAUCAUUGGCCCAUUGUGGCCAAGCUUCACUAUAGGACUUCAAACCUUCACCAACUUGAAUACCCAUCCCCAGAUCACCGCUCCUAUACUUAUUGAGGCUCUUCUCUUCCAAAUAAUAUCGCUAAAUGUUAUGAAGGGUGCUCAUACUAUUGGUAAGCAUACUCCAAUGUCAACAUAUAGGAUUUGUCCUACAUGGAUCGUUGAAGGGAAGUUUCUUGCCAAAAUGAUGGUGUAUCAAGAUAUAUUUCUCCCUCACGAAGUGCAUAUUGUUUUAGUGUUAUAUAACAUUACUUUGCUACCCUUCCAAGCCACAAAAAUACAAACCUCUCUAAAAUCUUUCGUUAAUAUAGGAUAAUAUAUAGUUCUUUUGAAACAUGUUCACCAUCGACUACUCCCUACGUCGACUACAAUAAAUUAAGCAUGCCACAAGUGCCUACCAAGAUGUCCCUUCUAACUAACCCGAUGCAACUUCAUAAGUAUUUAACGUUGCCACAAAUAAAAGGUGAAAAGGAAGAGGAAACCUAAACUCAAAUGUAUACAAAGGCAUAAAUUAAGUUGAUCCCCCUCACUUCAUGGCCACCACACUCAGUACAUUAUCCCUCAUAAAAAAAACUCAUACUAGUAAUCAUUCAACUAAAGACCAUGACACACUCCAAGCCCUUCAUCUUUUUCUUUCGUCGCCAUGCAUUUCAAGCCCUCAUUGCUCAUGAAAAAUUCAAUUGGCCUUCUCUUUCCUUUCUUCACCACUCUUGUUCCCCCAACAACAUGCUUUCAUUUACUACCAUCCACCUUAUCUACAUCGUAAGAAAAAAAACCCUUAAAAAUUAAAUUCAAGACUAAAGAAUGAGAAGCUCACCUAGCAUACUUAAAAAAUCUCAAAAAUAAAAGAAGUAAAAAACUAUCAAAUACAAUUUGUCACAGAAAUAUCGAAGAAAGAGAGUAAAGAAAGACUAUAGAAAAAAAUAAACAAAGUGAGAAGUGCAGAGGUGAAGUCUAAAGAGCUUGGAGAUAACUACGAGAUUUCUAAAGUGCAUAAGAUUGAAACAAGCCCUUGUUCAUAGAAAAUCUAGCUCUUUCAUGUUUACUACGCAUAUGAAAUCUCACAUACAUUUCCCAAUCGAUCACAAUGACAACCAAUAAAAUGAUGCCACGUACCUCGUGUUUCAUCAUGACCCUAAUAACCCACACAACUUAAGUAACACGUUUCCACAAACCAUGCUUAUCAUAAAAUGAACAACCAAGUAAUCAAUUGUAAAAUUCAAAUGUUGAAAUUUGAAAUUCCAAAAUUCAUUUAGUGUUAUGUAAGACACCCUACCACACAUCCUACCAUUAAAAGGAACUUUACUUAGCAUACGCAUUGUCUUAAAGUAGGCCACUUUAUAACCUCCAUUUUGAUUAGGGGCAAUUGUUACACAUACUUCACUAGAGAUAUCUUCACCGUACAAGAUGCCUUGCCAAUGGCCUACCUAAUCAAGGGAACUACUUUGCCUCACACAUGUUCCACCUAGACCUAACGGUAUGCUGCUCAACCAUUCAGGUAACUCAACCAUACUAAUAAGAUUAUCGUCACUUGUCACCCACAUACCCUGCAAUCUAGUCAUAUUAAAUCAUAUAGCCAACCUAACAAAGAACACGUGGUAUAAAAAAGUCAACCUUAUAUUUACCACUCCCGGAUCUCUAAUAGGGGAUUCUCUCCUUCCUAAUUCUUUAGUAGCUCUCCUUCCAAUAUCUACUACAGAAUCUCAACUACCCUUCUCUUUUUGCCCCUUAAGGAGAUUCGUCAUCUCCUUUCCAUUUACAUUUUAGCCAUAAACUCAUAUGUUAUAUUAUGUUCAUUUCAUUUAAUUACAUAAUUACAUAUGUUCAAAUCUAAAAAUUCAUCUUGCAACUUGAGACAAUCAUUUAAUUAGAAAUUUAGCUAAAUGCAACAAUUGUUUCGGUAGUUAUCAAUAUAAAUAAAUACUUUGGUUUAAUUUGAGAAAGAAUCAUUUCAUAUCAAGGGCCAAGUAAGCAACAAUUGUACUUAUAGCUAAUCACAGUACAAAGCAAACAAAAAAAAAGCCUAACGGUCAAAGAAACAAACUGCCCAAACAAGAAAAAAAAAUAGGCUUGAAGGCCAAGGACUAAUGACAAACCCAACGACCCAAUAAGAACCAAGAAAACCAACUUUCGACUGAAGGAACCACUUGCAACAACCAUGCACUUUUUCGCUAAAACUAUACAAAAUGAAGAUAAAUGAUUUAUCCGCCAUUGAUCCCAACUUAAAGUCUUUGCUUGGUAGAGUGGAAAUAAAUUUGGAAGGAUAAAAAGUUGAAGGGGUAGAAAAUUAGAAAGAUGGAAAACUUAAUUUUUUUUCCAUAGGUGUACUUGAUAGGAAAGAUAGAAAAUAGAAAGAAAAAAGUAAUUUUCUUUCCAUCCAUUGCUUAGUAGGUUAAAAAAUAAAAAGAAAGAAAAUAAAACAUUUAAAUAUGCAUAAUUUUGAAUUGGCAUACACCUCUCUCUCUCUCAUUUUCUCUCUUCUCAUCACCCAAAUUUAAAAGGAAUGAUUUUUAUGUACUAGAACAGAAAAUGAUCAUAUUUAUUAUCUUCUUUCCUCACAUUUUUCUUCCCUAUCAAGCAUACUCUAAAUUUUUUUCCCAUUUUUCUAUUCUCCCUUCCCAUCCUUCCACUUUUUCACCCAAUUAAGCAAUUUUUGCUCAACGCACAAUAACACUCAUCCUCAGUUAAUCCUUUUACUUCACAUAAGACCAGAUAUAAUUUUUGAGCAUUUUUUUAAUAGUCAUUUCUGACUUCCCUUGAGUUAGCAUUUCGAAGACAAUGCUCUUACUUAAUUUAAGGCCAACAGUCCAUAUGUUUUCCCCAAUAACGUGACAGCAUUAGUAAGUGAAGUAGAAAUUUAUUCACUUCUAUCAAAAAUCUUUUUUUCUUCUUUGAAAAUGUGGAACCAUCUUGGUUAGGCUUUGGCGAUUGCAAUUGUGUAGCCGAGAAAUCCAUCUCAUCCAAAGAAACAUCAAACUUUGCAUCCAUAGUAAUUGUCUCAUUCUUCAACAUUAUUUGCAGUAGCUACAUCCUCAGCAUCUAUUUCUUCAACAAUAUAUGUAGUUUUUUGAGCAUAUUUCUUAGUGGCUCAAUCUUUUGUAUAUAUGGAAAUAAGUUGGUCAUAAUAAGGGAAAUCGUGAUGUUUGAAUUGACCAGUUGCUUUAUGACUAUAAAAAAAGAAGGAAUCCACAUUAGAUAUAAGUUUGAUCAAAACAAGAUAAUAAAGACAGGAAAUAAUUACUAUACUUAUAUAUAGGUUCCACAAAGCAUCUUCAACAACAACUAUCUGCCUAUGAUCGUCCCAACCAAAGCCACUAUUGUCUUUUCUACUGAGCAUGUCGCAAAAGAUUGCCCAAUCUCUUUUCAAUGUGCUAAUCCUCAAUUCAAGAUUAGGUUUAGCCUUCAACAUAGCAUGAGGUAAAAAUUUUUCUAACAUUCUUUCUGACUCAUUUAAAUAACCGCCUUGAAUCCCGUUCUAUGUUAAAGGUUCCAACAUUGUGCAAGUCAACCAUAUAGGCAACCAACGCAACAUCUUCUUCUGGAACCUAUUUCCUUUUGAUUCCUCAAGUAUUUUGAGAAGAAGCACUCGAUUGUGAAAAGCCUAACAUAACUAUCUUAAGAAAAAACUCAAAUUAAAAUUAGGUUCGAUAUUAUGAAUCAGAAGGUCGACACUUUAUAAAAUUAUAACACAUGGCGAAUCAAAAGAAAAUAAAUUAAAGUUUUAAUUCAACAGGUCCAAUGCAAUACAUAAGGACAAUUCAAACAACACAAAAGUUUCGUAAACUAGAUACAUGAAAUAACAUAAACAAAUUAAUCUUCUACUAUGUUUUAAUAAACUUAACUAAUUUCUAGAUGCUUGCGAUUCAUAGAACAUUUGAUUGGCUAGUUCUAUCCUCCAAGUAUCCCAUGUAUUCGAUGGAUGAAUAUUUACGAUAUUCAGUUCAUUGUCAUCUAUCACAUUAUUAGGUAAUCCUUCUCCCAACUUUGCUUCAAUAAGAUUAAUAUUCAUAUAGGUUUGAAUAAAAUUAUGGAGAAAAUAACAUGAAAUAAUGAUUCUAUUGUGCACCCUCACAUGAUAGAAUGAUGGACUCCUAAGUAUUCCCCAUCUAAGUUUUAAUAACCCAAAGCAUAUUUCAAUAACAUUACACGUUGAAGCAUAUUUCAUAUCGAAAAAUUCUUCUGAAGUACUUGGAUGGUAACUCUGACGUCACUUAUUCAAAUGAUAUAUUUAUCCUCUAAAAUACACAAGAAAUCCCUUAAAGUUUGUGUAACCAACAUCAACUAGAUAAUAACAACCUACAAAAAAGGGGAAAAACUAUUUAUCAUGGUUAACUUUCCCAAAAACCUAUGAUCUUAAAAUUAAUUCAAAUUCCUCCAAAUCUGCAUUUUACCAUGAGGAACUUUUAGUUUAUAUCUCCUACUAAUGACAUCUCAAAGAACUCAUCCAUCAGCAAUAUAACCUUCCCAACCAGGAAGAAUAUAAACAAAGUGCAUAUCAAGUGUACAAACACCUAACAUAUUUGUUACUACGUCAACUUUUUGCGUUCAAUAUAUAGGUUUAUCAACUUUUGGAACCCUAAUCUUGAUGUGGGUUCCAAAGCACCUAAGCAAUUCUACAUCACAUGUAUAAAACCUCGGGUUAGGAUACUAUAUUUAAAUCUAAAUCAAUUGAAUUAUGUACAAGCUAUAUAUGAAACUCACUCCAAUACCUUGAACCAUUUCCACCUUAGGUCUGUAGAAUUAGUUGUAAUUGGCUCUGCCUUUUUAAAUAACACAUCUUGUAAGCGGAUGACAACAUUUAAAACAUUGUGAAAUGAUCAGCUAAUGGAUUCCUCGGACCUAUUAAAGUGAUGCUUGAUAACUCAGCUUUUAAGGUGAUAAGAAAUGAUAUGUAAGAACAUUGUCACUUGCUCAUCAACAACAUGUUCCUUGACGACUUCAAUCCUCCUAAAGUUUGUAACAUCUCACAUAGUUAAAAAAAAGUAAUUAUAUUCAUCCUAACUUGUUCAAUACAGGUCUCAUCACUAGCAUGUACAAGUCUUUUCAAAUAAUCUCGUUAUGCAUAAAAAUCUAAAAUAUAUGAUCUAAUCCUUGUUCUAUAAGUAUGUAGGCUAUAGACGACACCCAAUGUAACUAAGGAUCAACUCACAACUAUACACAUUUGCAACAAUAUUUUCAAUGCAAGACCAAUUCUUUUUCGCCUCUCACUUUGUACUAUUAAAGGCAAACGAGUCAUUAUUACAAGAUAUUAAAGUGUUAAAUAUCUUUAAAUCAUAGUAUAAAUUAAUCUCAAAAUAGAAUGUGAUGCAUAUAUCUUCAAAGCACACAACAUAAAGCUAAAAAGAAUAACUAUUUUUUUUAUUUUGAUGUACUAUAUUAUGCUUUUUCAAUCUAAGUUACAAGCUUAUUUACUCAAUUAUUUAUUCUCAAAUAUAAAUUAUCAAACUACCUCGUUAAUCACUUUAUAAUUCGACCGAUUCUAUUUUGGUUAAUUCAAUCUUAUUUUAUCUCAAUAUUUAAUAAAAAGGAAAACGAUGCAAAAAUUUUGGAAAAUUCUAUACUGUUGUUUUGAUUGUUAGUAGCAAAAUCAGUUGAAAUUCUAUUUUGGUUAAUUCAAUCUUAUUUUAUCUCAAUAUUUAAUAAAAAGGAAAACGAUGCAAAAAUGGAAAACGAUGCAAAAAUUUUGGAAAAUUCUAUAUUGUUGUUUUGAUUGUUAGUAGCAAAAUCAGUUGAAAAAUUUUACAUACCAGAAAGUACUAGCCAAUACCACUUAUAUGUAUGAGAAAAAGAUAAUCGAGUUGAUGAAAUAACUAGAAGUUGAAAGAGCCAAGUCUGAAAGUGCUGAAGAACAGUAUGAAAUGAGAUGGAGAAUUAUAAAUAUCAGAUGACUCUUAUUGACACUACUCAGAUGUAUGAAAUGAAAAUCACAGAGUUAACUAAGCAAUUAGUAGGACGAGCACACCAGGUUUGAAGCUGCACAAGAACAAUUAAGCAAGUAGAGAAUGAGCAAACAUGCUGCUAGUAGAUUAUCAGAACUCAACGCAAGUUAAGCUUCUGCCUCAAAUGAAAUGUGAAAUGAUCUUUUGUUCCCUCCUAAAUAUCUCCUUACAAUCUAAUUGCUUUAAUAGUACAUGACCUUAUUCUCUUCCCUUCUAGCUCUGUUUAUAUUUUAUUUGUUAUCAUCACUUUUUAACAAUCACUGGGGUAUUUGACCAAAGAUCAGACCUAGAAGUGCCUCAAUAACAAAUAUUCCUAAAAAUUGAAAUCUUUUAACAAGGGAAAAAUGAAAUUCCAUUAUAAAAAAAAAACUACUUCAACAAAAAUCAAAAUUUUAACAUAAAACACAAACUUGUAUGCUAACACACACACACACACACACAAAAAAGCAAAUAUUCAAAGACAAAUUUGAGAUUUUCAAUACCAUUAACGCAUUCGGUUUCUAGGUUUUACAGUAACCUUCAAACUACUGAAAUUCUUGAGCAAAGUUCUGUAUGUAAGGAAAAAAGCAGUCAUUUGUUAGCAUACAUGUCUUUUUUUUAGCUAGAAUAAAAAAAACAUAGUUUCCUUUACGAAACAGUGUUCGAACAAUUCAAGAAAUGAGAGAAAAUUUGGGGCUCAAUUAAGAUAUCAAUUCAGGAAAAAAGAACCCUCAACAGAACUCACAGAUCAAAUAUCCUCAAAAGAACUAUAAAUCAAGAUGAUACAUUUGUUAGGCUUAAUUUUAAAAAUACAGAAAUAUAAACCAAUACUUUGAAAUUAAAAAAAAAAGUCUUGUUCUUUGAAUUAUUAUGGUAUGAAGAUAGAAAAUUUAACAAAAAGAGAUAGAAAAAUUUUUAGGAUAACAAAAAUUGGCAGAGAGGAAACAAAAGGAACAACAAAAGAGAGAAAAGGUUUACCUAAAGGACGCUCCGAUGAAGGGGAGGAGUGCUAGUGGUCGGAGGCAAAGGAAGCAAACUCUACUUAAAUGGGUAACAAAAAGAAGCAGAAAAAUUUUUAGGGUAAGAAAAAUUAGCAAAGAGGAAAACGAAAAGAACAACGGAAAAGAGAAAAUGUUUACCUGAAGGAAGCUACGAUGAAGGGUAGGAGUGCUAGUGGUCAGAGUCAAAGGAAGCAAGGGAGUGGUUGUUGGGCUGAGUGACAGCGUUUUUAAGGUGAGAAAGUGGGGAGGGUAAAAUAGAUUUCUCAAGCACCGAAUCAGCCAUUCAGUGGAGAGGAGACAAAAUAGAAAUGACUCAUAUUCC